rnacentral:misc_RNA from 1 species
UGUAGGAGCGAGCCUGCUCGCGAUAGCAAUCUGGCAGUCGCCAUCAGUGUUGAAUGGCAAACCGCUAUCGCGAGCAGGCUCGCUCCCACA